rfam:Deltaproteobacteria bacterium RBG_16_55_12 RBG_16_scaffold_84687, whole genome shotgun sequence.
GGCCAGGUAGCUCAGUCGGUAGAGCAGAGGACUGAAAAUCCUCGUGUCGGCGGUUCGAUUCCGUCCCUGGCCA